CACAGCCCUGGAUCAGCCAAUCACACGGCUCAGCCAAUCACAGCCCUGGAUCAGCCAACCGUUGUCCGUUCAGUGGAUUGUGUGCAUGUUGUCGUAAAUGCAGUGCUCGGUAGAGCUGCAUACACUCCAGUUAUACGUUGCUGUGCCUUUUUAGCAGCAGAAUAAUCUAUUGUAGAAAUGAAAUCACGUUUUCUUUGCUCCGUACCAGCAGAGCCACGGCGCUGUGUGUCUGUGGAGUUUAGGGCAACAUCAGGUGUUUGACCCUGGACCCACCGAGCGGCUCCUGAAGCACUCGCUGGUUGGGUUUGUGCACUAAUGACUGCAUGUGCUGGCAGCAGCCCCACAAGGUCUGGUUCCUCUGUUGCUGUUCAGCUCAUUGCAGCCAGACGACUCCGGUCUGUGUUCUCUGUCAGUGGCAUUCUGGGAAACGUAGGACAUCUUUAGGAUAUCGGCACAGAUCGAACGAGUUUUUGAAGGUGGAUAGUUUUUUUAAAAAAUCGCUGCAGCAUCAAAACAUCAGCAGCUGAUGUUCUCAGAUGGCUUCAUGUGUCUCCCGUCAGUGAACAAACGCUGUGAAGCUCUGUGAGCGUAGAUCCACUGAAGCUCUGGUGUGGCUGGAGCUCACCAUCUGAUCAGCUCGUCACCAGAACAGGACUCCUCCGGUCCGAACACAGGAAACACGAAGCACUUUAUUAGACUCAGCAUGAAUCAGAAGCCAAAGCAUGAGAAGAUGUUGAUUUCAUUUCUGGGUUCUAGUUUCAUGAAUCGCUUUAAUAUUCAGGGAAAUGCUGAAUGUCGCCACCAAGAGAAUUCCCCCGUGUGUGUGUGUGAAGAUGCAGGUGGAGACAGGUGGAGACAGGUGGAGACAGGUGGAGACAGGUGGAUAGUGUUGACUCCCUCUAUGUCACAUGAAUGUCUGUGUGGCUCAGUAACAGCAGCUGGUCGUGAAUGGAUCUGAGCUGACAGGAACCUCUGGGAGCUGCAGCGGUUGGUCUCUUACACCCGGUUUGUUGUCGCCGUGGCGACGUUACACGGUGUUGCCUUAGAACUCUGGUUCCCUUUAACACACAGCAGCACGGUCCAGUUGGUUUCUAGAUGUUCACGCUUACAGAACACGAUGUCCACGUGGAGUCACAGCAGACGGGUUCUUGGUGGUGUCGGGUUAGAACUCAGAGGACACAUUCGUUUGAGUUUUGAGUGUCGGUUGUUUUAUGGUAGAAAGCAGCCACCCAAAGGCCUUUCUUCAGCUCGGAGGUUUUAGCUGCAGAAGUUUUUGAAGCUCAGGAGGUUCCCUGCACAGCUCCAGGCCACUCCAGCUGGUAGGAUCAGGACUUAAUCUGGACUUCUGUUCAGAUUAACACGCUCCCAAAUAAAUCUACAAAACUGGAGAACAGCAACAACAACACACUGUUUUGUGGAUACCAGUUUUUCCCCAGAACCCUCUGAGAACCCUCUGAGAACCCUCUGAGAACCCAGUGAGUGAAGCUGAACCGGCUGAUGUGAUGGAAUAGAAGCAGGAAGCAGAGCUGGAGAUAAAUUUGCCAAAGUUGCUGCUCAUUCGCUGUGUCGCAGCGCCGUGAUGAGCCAGGAUUUCAUCAGCAGGUCUUCGCCGGCUCCUCAUCGCGACGCUUCCUCUUCUGAGCGUCACGUCUGCGGCCGGGCUGGAGGCCUCGGCGCUCUGCUGUCCACUCAGUCCAGUCUUCUCCUCAUCUUCAUUCCUGAGUUACAGACACACUUCCAUUUCAAAGGACUGUUGUGUUGGUUUUGUAGAUUUCUAUGACUGACAUAUUGUUGAAUGUGAGUCCGUGUUGGAGCGCCCCCCACCGCCGUCUGGGCCAGUCGUACCGGGUCUGGGUUCAUUAGGGUGUGUGUGAACGUGUGAGUGGAUCACGUCUGGGUUUCUUGUUUUUUUUGUACCUCAGAACACUGUCAGUAAUCGUGAUAAACAACAAUCUUUUUUUAUUUGUCAUGAGUGUGAUUUGGACGGCGUCUGGGGAGAAAUCAGCUGAUUGUCCUUCAUCCUCUCUGGACGCUUUAACUGAACAGAAAAUCAGAGAAACAAGGUGUAAAUACUGUUUUAUAAUUUCUGUCUUAAUGAGUUUUGAAGAUGAUGAAAGUUAUUAAUAAACCUGAGAUAUAUUUCUCUACGGA